CCUACGGUGGACUGCAGUGAGGAAUAUUGGUCAAUGGACGCAAGUCUGAACCAGCCAUGCCGCGUGCAGGAAGACGGCUCUAUGAGUUGUAAACUGCUUUUGUACGAGGGUAAACGCAGAUACGAGUAUCUGUCUGAAAGUAUCGUAAGAAUAAGGAUCGGCUAACUCCGUGCCAGCAGCCGCGGUAAUCCGGAGGAUUCAAGCGUUAUCCGGAUUUAUUGGGUUGAAAGGGUGCGUAGGCGGUCGGAUAAGUUAGAGGUGAAAUCCCGAGGCUCAACUUCGGAAUUGCCUCUGAUACUGUUCGGCUAGAGAGUAGUUGCGGUAGGCGGAAUGUAUGGUGUAGCGGUGAAAUGCUUAGAGAUCAUACAGAACACCGAUUGCGAAGGCAGCUUACCAAGCUACUUCUGACGUUGAGGCACGAAAGCGUGGGGAGCAAACAGGAUUAGAUACCCCGGUAGUC
rnacentral:rRNA from 1 species